rnacentral:lncRNA from 1 species
CCAUAUCUUUUGGAUGUCCCAUUUUCUUUUAGAUGGAUUUUAUCCCAUAGUUGAUACCUGGUCAGUUUCUCAAGUGGUGGAUACUCGAUUGUUCCUUUGCCAUCUGUUGUCAGUAACAUCAUCUGUAGGAAAUAACGAUCAGCAAUACUGUCCAUCUGCAACAGAGACACACUUGAUCCUACCUAGUCAAGGACACAGAUCAAGGGUGUUGAAGCUUCCUGAUCAUAUGUAUCACAGACUAAAAAUCAUCAUAUACUCAGCAUCACACAAUGCAAAUCACCUAUCCUUUGCAAAGGAGCUUCUGGACCACUUCACAGGAAGGAGGUCACUGGGCUCCUCCAAUCCCUCCCAUCUGAUCUGGAGGUAAACCUCUAGUUGGGGUGUAGGUUAGCAUUGCAGAACUCCAUUUCUUUGCUUUGCACUAUCCAGAUUAAGGUUCUAUGCAAGCCAUGAUAAUGGUUGGAUGCCUACAAAAAUGUAAAGCCAGUAUGCUAAGUUAGUAGCUUAAUCUAUCUAUUUUAAUUGUAAAGUCUGUGGUGUGCUUUGCCUUUGGUGCCUCUCUAGAGUGUUGAUGUUUUAUUUAGCUUCUGAGAUACAUGUUUAUUCAAGAGCCCACAUGAAACCUUCAGCCUGUCUGACAUGUUAUUGACAAACCCAUCUCAUAAGACUCAGUAAAAGACGAAGUAUUACUGUGGAUUUCCUCUCUUGCCUCAUGUUGCAGCAGCGCUCAUCUAAGGAGAUUUUUAGAAGUUCAAAAUCCUGUCAUGUUUGAGAGGAUUUGAGUUUCAUUUGCCUCUCCUCUAAAGGUCUUCCAAAAUAAUCAUGCUUAAAAUGAUAAGAAUUAUGCAUUUAAAAUACUUUCUCUUUGAGAACUUGCCAUUAAAUGCAAUAUCAUAAAGUAACAUGGAUUUUUUUUUUCUAGUAGGAGGUAAAGAUCUUUAAAAUACUCCUGCAGCUCUGUUAAGUGCAAGCAAAGGUACCAAUGGCCCACGUCAAGUGUGAGAUUUGCACAUGCAUGGCUGCACUAUCCCCUUCCAUCUCUCUUUCCCCCAGUCAGAUUGUCCUUGCUCUGCUCACAUUUUACAAACUUUAUCAUGACUUCAACAUUUUUAAUAAAUUAUUCCCCCAUGUGGUACUUUAACUUGCC